AAGGGGCAGUAAGGCAUGGGUAUCUACCCUGGGGUCGGGCAUAGCCUGUCGAGAGACAGGGUAAUUCCCGAUGAUGUCGUGAGACCAAAGGUCCGCCGCCCUAGGAGGAGCCCAUGUGAUAUUAGCUAGUUGGUAAGGUAACGGCUUACCAAGGCGAAGAUGUCUAGCGGGUGUGAGAGCACGACCCGCGCCACUGGCACUGAGACACUGGCCAGACACCUACGGGUGGCUGCAGUCGAGGAUCUUCGGCAAUGGGCGCAAGCCUGACCGAGCGAGACCGCGUGUGCGAUGAAGGCCUUCGGGUUGUAAAGCACUGUCGAGGGGGAGAAAAGCGAAAGCUUGAUCUAUCCCUGGAGGAAGCACGGGCUAAGUUCGUGCCAGCAGCCGCGGUAAGACGAACCGUGCGAACGUUGUUCGGAAUCACUGGGCUUAAAGGGCGCGUAGGCGGGCCACCAAGUCCGGGGUGAAAUCCUCCAGCUUAACUGGAGAACUGCCUCGGAUACUGGAGGUCUUGAGGAAGAUAGGGGCAUGCGGAACCGUGGGU
rnacentral:rRNA from 1 species